AUUGAACGCUAGCGGCAUGCCUUACACAUGCAAGUCGAACGGCAGCGGGCUCUUCGGAGCGCCGGCGAGUGGCGAACGGGUGAGUAAUACAUCGGAACGUACCCAGUAGCGGGGGAUAGCCCGGCGAAAGCCGGAUUAAUACCGCAUACGCCCUACGGGGGAAAGGGGGGGAUCGCAAGACCUCUCACUAUUGGAGCGGCCGAUGGCUGAUUAGCUAGUUGGUGGGGUAAAGGCCUACCAAGGCGACGAUCAGUAGCUGGUCUGAGAGGACGACCAGCCACACUGGGACUGNNACACGGCCCAGACUCCUACGGGAGGCAGCAGUGGGGAAUUUUGGACAAUGGGCGAAAGCCUGAUCCAGCAAUGCCGCGUGUGCGAAGAAGGCCUUCGGGUUGUAAAGCACUUUUGUC
rnacentral:rRNA from 1 species